rnacentral:rRNA from 1 species
UACGGAGGGUGCAAGCGUUAUCCGGAUUCACUGGGUUUAAAGGGAGCGUAGGUGGCUUUGUAAGUCAGUGGUGAAAUCUUAGAGCUCAACUCUAAAAUCUGCCAUUGAUACUGCUUAGCUUGAAUCACGUCGAGGUGGAUGGAAUAUUACAUGUAGCGGUGAAAUGCUUAGAUAUGUAAUAGAACACCGAUUGCGAAGGCAGUUCACUAGGCGUGUAUUGACACUGAGGCUCGAAAGCGUGGGGAUCAAACAGG